rnacentral:rRNA from 1 species
UGGGGAGUACGGCCGCAAGGCUAAAACUCAAAGGAAUUGACGGGGGCCCGCACAAGCGGCGGAGCAUGCGGAUUAAUUCGAUGCAACGCGAAGAACCUUACCAAGGCUUGACAUAUACCGGAAACGUCCAGAGAUGGUCGCCCCGCAAGGUCGGUAUACAGGUGGUGCAUGGUUGUCGUCAGCUCGUGUCGUGAGAUGUUGGGUUAAGUCCCGCAACGAGCGCAACCCUCGUUCUAUGUUGCCAGCACGUAAUGGUGGGAACUCAUAGGAGACUGCCGGGGUCAACUCGGAGGAAGGUGGGGAUGACGUCAAAUCAUCAUGCCCCUUAUGUCUUGGGCUUCACGCAUGCUACAAUGGCCGGUACAAAGGGCUGCGAUACCGUAAGGUGGAGCGAAUCCCAAAAAGCCGGUCUCAGUUCGGAUUGAGGUCUGCAACUCGACCUCAUGAAGUCGGAGUCGCUAGUAAUCGCAGAUCAGCAACGCUGCGGUGAAUACGUUCCCGGGCCUUGUACACACCGCCCGUCAAGUCAUGAAAGUCGGUAACACCCGAAGCCAGUGGCCUAACCCCUUGUGGGAUGGAGCUGUCAAAGGUGGGAUUGGUGAUUA